GGAGAAACUCCAGUGGAGUACAACAGAGGUAAACUUAGGAGAGCAAGCACUGAGAUAGAGAGCUGACAUGAUAGUAUAUGUGUGAUGUCUAAGUUAGAUAAUUUUCAGCUAACUUCAGGUCAGAGAACAAUUGUAGGAAAGUAUAGACAAUAUGCCUGAAAAGUAAUAAGCACUGGGAUGAGCUUUUAGAAGGUAAAUACAGGGAGCCAGGUAUUAGAUCAUCAUCCUCACAGAUUGGGAAAUUACUCAGGAUGUAUCAGGACUUUUGAUGGGGAGAUAUCAGUUUAUUACACACAAAUGGAACCCAUAACAGUUAUGCUUCCAGAUAAAACAUGCUGGAUCAUACUGUUGAUGCAAAUGUAUUCUUGGAGAGAAAAACAAACAGGUUCAUUUUGUUUUCUUGCCUACUUUUUUUUUUUAAUAAAUUUUGGAGUAAUUUGUCACACAGCAAUAAAUAACUAAGAUGCUUAACUGACGUUUCUACAUUGCUGAGCACCUGAAUAUAUGCCUGUUUAUCUUUCCAAUGGUUCAGUCUCACAUUCUUUAGACAUCCACUCUGACAAGCUGUCCCCGGAGAGGAUGUGUUACAUGUACAAAUUCUUCGCUGUUUGGUUUCACCUUGCCUUUUGGGGUUAUGAUCUAAAGCCCUGAUUCACAAGCCAAGAAUGACUCAGGACAGAGGUGGCAGGACGCUCUCUGGGUUAUUCCUUCCAUCUUCCUUUCUUCCUACCAGAGAAAAAAAUAGAAAAAAGAAAAAGCUCCCCAACAUAUAUGCCAUACUUGUUUUGAAUGUUAAAGAUUUGUACCUGCAAAAAAAUAAGUUUAAUGGAAUUUACUUCUUCCCAUGAAGCCAAAAAUGAAAUGGGUAAACUCACAAUUAUUCUUAUACUAAAAAUGAAAUUUGAUUUCAAUUAAGACAGGGCAAAUUGUAAACUAAAAUCCUAUGCUAUGACUGGAUUGACUUGAUAUCAUAAAGUCAGCCAUUAAGUUGGCAAGCUGACAGAAUCAACUUUUUUGGGACUUUGACAAGUAACAAAAAUCUUAAUGCAAACAGGGGAAUGCUUAUAGAAGAAAGAGACUGUUAUCAUUUAGUAAUAAAGUACUGUGUUUUUUGCUUAC